GUGCUGGCUUCAACAGCACAUAUACUACAAUUGGAACAAUAAAGAGAAGAUUAGCACAGCUCCUGCACAAGGCUGAGAUGCAAAUUUGUGAAGCAUUCUACAUAUAC
ensembl:snRNA U6 U6 spliceosomal RNA